AUGCUGAUGUGGCAAAGGAGCAGCACAAAGAUCCAUGCCCCGAGGGGGACCUCCAGCAGGAAAGGACAGGCGUGGGAUCCAGCAUGGUACCCUUCUGGUGGGAGCAGCAGCGAAGGCUCCAGCGGGCAGCUCACGGACCCUGGGAAGGACGCAUCCUGCUCCCUCCUCCCCCCCGGUAGAACGUCCUUUGGGCCAUGUGACCUGGUGAAUCCCUGUGAAACCAGCACUGAAGGCUCCAGAUGACUGGCAAAUGCUGUUUCAAGCGAGCCGGAAGUGUCUUAGCUGCCCGAGCCCCUCUGCUCAGCUUUCGUCCAUCUGCAUUUGUCCUGGCCUCCUUCUCUUCGCUCCCGGUCAGCGCAGAUUGGCGCCCGGUCCCCCUGCACCAUCCCAGGGCGCUGCCCAUAACCUGGGCACUCCCCGCCAGAGUGGUGUCUCCUGCCCAGCCCAGGCCUUGAAGCUGUGCUCUUCUGACAAGGGGAAGAAUUCUGAGACUGGCGCAGCGGAGAAAACUCAAGGUGCACAGCGCUUUGCUGUCACUCGGAAAGCCCUUCAAACACCCCCACGUGCUUCUGACCUUCUACCAACAGUCCCUGGACCAUAACUCAAGAUUCGAUUGUACAUCAUUUUAUUACGGAUGUCACACUGAGCCAGUGGAAUGUACACAUACAUUUUUCCUAUACAAGCGAUAAGCUUCAGCUGAAGAAAAUAUUGCUUUGAAACGUGUGCGUACUCUUUGAAGUUAAGGGGUUAAAAGCCACAAGGGUAUUAACUUAGAGGGGAUAUCCUGAGCAGCGGAUGGGGAGAUAUUCGAUGGCGACAAAUAAAGCAAAGGAAAAGUGUAAGUUGCCAUUAGAAAUAGUGGGCCGGGAGUUCCCACUGUGGCUCAGCAGGUUAUGAACCUGGAUAGCAUCCAUAGGAGCACAGGUUUGAUCCCUGGCCUCACUCAGUGGGUUAAGGAUCUGGUGUUGCUGUGAGCUGUGGUGUAGGUCACAGAUGCAGCUCGGAUCCUGCCUUGCCGUGGCUGUGGUGUAGGCCAGCAGCUGCAGCUCUGAUUUGAUCCCUAGCCUAGGAACCUCUGGGUCCGAGAACCCAGGUCCCAGAAUGGAGCGUGUGGGAACAUCCUGUACAAUUUACACUCUGAAGGAGACAGAAGCACUGUGGGCUUCCAACCGUGACUCACCCGAUCGUCACUGGAGCUUGGAGCGGGGGACCGGGUGGGUGUCUCUGUCUCCCUGAGCAGUUAAGUGGGAUCUGACACAUCUGCCCUGCCGAGCCAACGCCGAGGCCAGAAGGAGCAGGCAGGGCAGGAGGGCAGUGUGGGAGUUUGCCUGGGAACUUGUCAUUGCAGAAGGUCAAGGACACGUUUGUGGUCUAGGAGAAGAGCCAGUAGCGAUGGACGCACAGAGAUUCUAGAGGUGCUAAGAGGGCACCUUUUUCUUCAGUUCCCCAAAUACAGCCCACGGGCAACCUCGCGUGGAACUGAAACCAUCACCUCUCACCCUUUUGAAUCACAGCAUUGCCCGUGGCGUCCACAUGCAAACCCACCCUGGGGAGUGAAGUGAGGAGAGGUGCCCCCACCGAGCUCCAGGUACCAUGUCAGAGCCGCAUGCACGGCUCAUCUCAUCAGCUCAUCAACACCACGAGAUCAGUAUGUGUAGCCCCAUUUUACAGACGAGGAAAUGGAGGCUCAAGGGGUGAAUUACCUACAUAGAUUUAUGGGGUGGAGUUUGAACCUUGGACCUUCUGAUACCAGAGCCAAUGUUGUGACUAGACUGAUAAGUAGGCAGCAUCCGCCAUGCAGCUCAUGAAUACUUUAUGCGAUUGGACAAGGUCAGGGCUGUAAGUGGCCAGGUGUUUUCUACCUGACAGACAGGCCCAGGUGGAACCGCUCCCGGGCAGGCCAGAGAAUGAGCUUGUUUGGCAGGGAGGGUCUUUGGGGUUCAGGGAAAAUGGGCGAGUGGAGGGUGGUGGCUGGAGAUGCGAGUGGGAAUGGAGCACUUCCUGUUGUUGGGAGCCCAGGGCCAGACCCCCUCCCACUCCUCACUGGGUGGUCCACAGCUCCCUGCCUCCCCUACUCAUUGGACUGAGCUUGGCAGUCAUUUAAAUUGAUGGGGUAAAGGUUUGCUCUGUGAAUCCAGCCACCAACACUAGACAUUGCAGUCAAGAUCCAUUGCUUGGGAGUUAGUGCUGAAAAAAAGCUA
rnacentral:lncRNA from 1 species